GCGGUCGGCGCCAUGUUAUGUUGGGGCAGAAGGGACGGGGAACUUCCGGAUUGGAAGCCCCAAGGAUUCUGAGAGCCCCGCUAAUCUGGGGAUGACUCCUAGGAGUAGAAGACGGUCCAUCUUAGUUGUCACGAGUAUCUCACUUCUUGGAAUCCGGCGGCGUUCACGUGUGUGCUCCAGAGAAGGGCGCCAGAGGGUAUUCCCUGAAAGUGAAAGGUCGGCGAAAGAGGAGUAAAGACGGCGAGACGCGUCCACGCAGGGGGAGUCUGUGCGGUUUGGAGGAACGCGCCAAUGUCUGCACUCAUGAGGAGCCCCCAAGGGCGGUUUUAAGAGGGUGAAGCAGGACCGGGCGCAGUGACUUACGCCUGUAAUGUCUUUAGAUAAUAACUUAACUCUUUCAACCAAGUGCCAAUCAGAAAAUCUUUGAAUCCAUCUAUGAACUUUCUCCCUAAAAGGUGUAAAACCGGCUGGGUGCAGUGGCUCACGUCUGUAAUCCCAGCAGUUUGGGAGGCUGAGGCAGGUGGAUCAUGUCAGGCCUCUGAACCUAAGCUAAGCCAUCGCAUACCCUGUGACCUGCAUGUAUAUAUAUGCCUAGAUGGCCUGAAGUAACUGAAGAAUCACAAAAGAAGUGAAAAUGGCCUGUUCCUGCCUUAGCUGAUGACAUUCCACUACAAAAGAAGUGAAAAUGGCCGGUCCUUGCCUUAACUGAUGACAUUACCUUGUGAAAUUCCUUCUCCUGGCUCAUCCUGGCUCAAAAAGCUCCCUCAUUGAGCACCUUGUGACCCCCACUCCUGCCCACCAGAGAACAACCCCCCUUUGACUGUAAUUUUCGUUUACCUACUUAAAUCUUAUAAAACGGCCCCACUACCCCUAUCUGCCCUUUGCUGACUCUCUUUUCGGACUCAGCCCGCCUACACCCAGGUGAGUAAAAAACUUUAUUGCUCACACAAAGCCUGUUUGAUCGUCUCUUCACAUGGACGCGAGUGAAAUUUGGUGCCGUGACUCGGAUCGGGAGACCUCCCUUGGGAGAUCAAUCCCCUGUCCUACUCUUUGCUCUGUGAGAAAGAUCCACCUACGACCUCAGGUCCUCAGACCAACCAGCCCAAGGAACAUCUCACCAAUUUUAAAUCGGAGAACCACUGGAAAUCAGACUGCCCAGCUCGCCUGGCAGCCACCCCUAGAGCCCCUAAAGCUCUAGCCCAAGACUCUCUGACUGACUCCUUCCAAGAUCUGCUUGGCUUAGGGGCUGAAGACUGACGCUGCCCGAUCACCUUGGAAGCCCCCUGGACCAUCAUGGAUGCUGAGCUUCGGGUAACUCUCACAGGGGCGGGUUCCCACGCCACCCCUAAUCCCGCUGGAAGCAGCCCUGAGAAACAUCGCCCAUUAUCUCUCCAUGCCAGCCUCCCAAAAAAAUUUUUUUCGCUGCCCCAACACUUCAACACUAUUUUAUGUUAUUUUUCUUAUUAAUAUAAGAAGGCAGGAAUGUCAGGCCUCUGGACCCAAGCUAAGCCAUCACAUCCCCUGUGACCUGCAUGUAUAUGCCCAGAUGGCCUGAAGUAACUGAAGAAUCACAAAAGAAGUGAAAAUGGCCUGUUCCUGCCUUAACUGAUGACAUUCCACUACAAAAGAAGUGAAAAUGGCCGGUCCUUGCCUUAACUGAUGACAAUUACCUUGUGAAAUUCCUUCUCCUGGCUCAUCCUGGCUCAAAAAGCUCCCCCACUGAGUACCUUGUGACCCCUACCCCUGCCCGCCAGAGAACAACCCCCUUUGACUGUAAUUUUCCUUUACCUACCCAAAUCCUAUAAAACGGUCCCACCCCAUCUCCCCUUUGCUGACCCUCUUUUCAGACUCAGCCCGCCUGCACCCAGGUGAUUAAAAAGCUUUAUUGCUCACACAAA